UCCAUUUUUCUCGUGCCAUCUAAAAUCUUUAUUUUACAGAUUUUAUAAUUCGAAACAUAAAAAGCAAACAAAUCUAAUAUCAUUUUCUAAUUCAAUAGCAGCAACAUAAUUCAACCCCAACGAUUUCCACAACAUAAACUCAACAAUAUAAUACAACAACAAUGGUAAUUGCAACAAUAUAAUUAAAGACAAAAAAGACCAUGGAUGAGGAUGAGACAAUCUAAUUCCUUGUUCGUGUUCAUCCAUGCAUUUCUUCGUAUAUUCUCUGUCGAAUAACAUGAACAUGCCUCACCAACAUAGCGUCAAACUCGAUUGGUAUUUUUAAACUAUACUAACUAUAGAAAACAUGGUCCUUAUGCAUAAAUUGUUCGAAAACUUACAUUUAGACCAUUCAAAUAUGGUGAUUUUUUUUUUCAUGCAUACUUCAUACAUCCAAACUGAUGUUAGGGGUUCAAAGAUCCAUCCAUGGACAUUAUGUUUCAUCUGCAUAUGAUUCUAACCAAGAGUGUGAAAGAUGUACUAGGUCAGUGUAGAACAGUUAAUUAAAGUUCAAUAUUUGAUCAUUCUUUUUUUUUAAACUUGGUAUCUAGUUUAAGGAACUAUUAUUAAUUUGAGGGUUCAAUUUUAUUGUCCACUAGCGGAAGUUCUAUUUAAAGUAAAAACAAAACUUUAUAUAGACUAGUUCAUGAAAAUUGACAUCAGAAAAUCAAACCCAAGAUCUCAACAUUUUUUUUUGAAUUGGUUCUUUAAUUUUUUCUUUUUUUCUUUCUCAAAUUGAUCUUUUGUGUUAGAUUAUUGCACUGUUAGUCUUAAUAAAUUUUGUUAAAAGAAAACACACAUAACAUUUUAAUAUUAUUUUGAAAUAAAUUUAAAUUUUGUAUACAUAGUAGUGAGUAGUGACACAUUCCAAAUUAUUAUUUAAAAAUUUACCUUGGUUAUUCAGUUUUGGCUUUUGGGAUGAGUAUCAAACUAAAACAAUUAAUAUAAACAGAUUCUAAUGAAUGGACCGAACCAACAAUUAGUCGUGACUUGUGAUCUUUCAUUUAUGCAAAGGUAUUAGUGAUUACAUUUCCAUGAAGCCAUACAAAGUUUUAGAAGACAUACAAUUUAUUAAUAUAUUUUUUAAAAGAGUAUAUAGUAUAGUGUUAGCAUUUCAUGGUUUAGUUAAAUAUUGCUCCUGGCCUUUCUAAUGCUCAUUCUAUUCUCUUGAAGCACAAAAACAUGAAAACUCUUCUAACCUUAAUCUUCACAUUCUCCAUCAUCAUCAUCAUCAUCGUUGCCUUCACACAUGCAACACCAACAUUGAUCAUUCGCACUCAACCUCAAAUGAACCAAUCAUCCAUGCUUAUUCAUACCCAACAACAAGUAAAUCAAUUUUCAAUGUCCCUUUUCCCUGUAAAGUUUAGUCACUGGAUGAAUGAUUUAUUAUUAAUUUCAUAUUUUAAUUAAUGCAUCUUAAAUAAAAGGUUAUAUAUGCAUGUUUCAGAAUGAGACUAAACGGAGUGGUAACUGCGAUUACAAGGUGACCAUAGCAACAAGCUGCAAAUCUCCUUUAUCUACAAAAGAUGAAAUCAGUAUUUUAUUUGGAGAUGCUGAUGGCUCUGAGGUUCCUUUCUAUACCACAAACAAUUAAUCAUAUAUCUAUACAUGUUUAUGUUGCUCCUUAAUUUUUGUUGUGCAAAUAAUAUUACACCCUAAUUAUUAAUAUUUGUUAGUUGCCAACAAAAAAAUUAUAUAUCUAUACAUAUAAUAAUUGCAGGUUUAUGUACCAAGAUUGGACGAUCCUGAUUCUGGGACGACGUUCGAGCAAUGCACCACGAUGGAUUUUGAGAUAUUGGGACCAUGUAUUGGUAAAAUAUGCAAAAUGUAUCUAUUUAGGAACGGCACGGAUGGUUGGAUACCAGAGACUGUCAUAGCAUAUCACCAUGACAACCCUCCAGUCACAUUUAAGUACAACAUUGACAUUCCUAAGGAUUCUGGUUAUGGCUUCAAUAAUUGUGGUUAACAAGUGUGUGUGUGUGUGUGUAUUUCGGCAACAAGAUCAAAUGGUCUAGAAAUAUAGAAGCAUCAUAAUACUUAUAAAAUAAGGUUGAUUUUUUUUUUUAGUUAUCAAGAGUUUAGUGGUGAAACUAAUACACAUGUACUUAGAAAUGAGAAAUUACGGGUUCACGGUCCAACAUAUAUAUCAAACAUCCUAGCAUAUUUUGUAUGUUUAAGAUGAUGAUUGAUGUUGUAAAUGUUGAAUUAUGUGCUAUAUAUUGAUGCUGAUUUAGUAUGAUUUUUCCGUCAAAUAAUAAAGGAGGUUUCUUAACAGAUCCAUCAGAACUUUCAUCACCAGAACCAUACCAUACAUCUAUUUCACAGAAGCAUCUUUACUCUCACAUGAUUAUCUCAACCUCUAACGUUAACUGAACAAAGUGAGGAAUAUAAGAAAUGGGAGUUCAAAUUAUAAUGAAAUUCCUUUAAAUAAAACAAAUAAAAAAAGAAAAGAGUUUAAGUGAUACAAAGAUUAAUUCAAGAAUUUAUUCUGAUUCACUACCAACAUAUGGUAGCCAUGGCCCUUCAACUUGAAUGAUUUUCCACUAAUUCACACAAACAACAACAACCAUAGUACGAUCAAUUUUUUGAGGUGCUCAAGUUUUCAUAUUAUAUUUAAAUUGAUUUAUUUAUUAUUAGGGUAUAUAUAUAGACGGACAUGUUAAAAUUUUCAUUUCUCUACUUUUCUAUUGUGAUUAAUUAUACAUAAAAAGAUAUUUCAAUUUUGACAUAUACUACGAUCAAAUACUUUUUAUAAAUAAAAUUAAAAUAAAUUCCUGUUGUCAGUAUGGGAUAGUUUCCAAUUUAUUCAAUGAGAUAUAGCUUUUUUUAAAAUUAAUAACUUAAAUAAUAUAAUAAAACGGAUACAAUAGCACAUAAUGUAGUUUAAGUUAAGAGUUAAAGGUAUAAAUGAAGAAAAAAUCGAGCUCAAAAUUAUGUAUUUCUUUUAUAGACUAACAAAAAAAUAUGAUUCUCGACAUAAUUAAAUUUUUGAAUUGUAAGUAUAUGAGCUCUAGUUUAUUCAGUUCAGGCGUUUGGAAUGAGUAUAUAACCAAACAAAAAGUAUCAUUAAUGGGUCGUAAUCAACCAAAUUUUGGUUUAGCGGAAAAUAUUAGACUUUCACAAUAUAGCGAAUCAAGAAUUAUGACAAAAAUAUUCACAUAUCGUGGCACCCACGACUCAACUACGAUUACUUCUUGCAAAGGAAAAAUAUAAAAUAUUAUAGAAAAAUAAGAACCGAAUCGACAUUUAAUGAAUUGCAUUUCUCCCGAAACAAUUUGUUCAUUCAGGACUCCAAUGGUUUUUUUUUUCUUGUUUUUUAUUUUUUAUUUUUUAUAGGGAUGAAGCCAUUAAGGUUUCGGAAGAUAUACUAUAUGUAUAUUUUUUUAAUGGGAAAUGUUAACGAGUGUCCUGAGUAUUUUUUAAGACUUUUAAAUAGUAAAUUUUUAUGAGAAUUAUUGUAUUUAAUGCGUUAGAAAUUGAAACAAUUGACUUUUUUAGUGAACAAUUUCUUGAAUUAAAAUGCUUAAAGAGCGCCCAGAAACAUAAAGUCUUAACACAACCUCCAACUCCAAUGGAGAAACUUGCCAAAAUGCCAACAUCUAGUCUUGAAGAGUGCUCGAGUUUCGCCGAGAAAUCCACGGAAACAAACAAUAGUACUCUAUUAACUACGAUUUUUUUUAUUUUAGAUUAAAUUUUAUGCAGAUCCUCGUAAAAUAAUUAUAUUGACAAUACAACUUAAAAAUUGAUUCAUUUCUUUUCAAAAACUAAAAAUGGAUUCACUUAAUGAUAACGUCCCACACAAUUUAAUAGUGGACUGUUAAAAAUACUCUCUUUUCAACACACUCUCUUUCGUUAGAUGAAAUAAAUGUAUGUCCUACCACUUUAAAUGAGAUAAAUUUUCAAAGUGUGAGACUCGUUUUAAUUUAAGUCAAUAAAAAAGUAAACAUUAGAGAUAUUGAAAAGAGAAUGUUGAUAACACUAUUAAAUUUAAUAUGAUAUGCAAAAAAAUUCACUAAAAUAUAAUAGAAUAUUUAAAAAAGUGCAAUGUUAGCAUAUCAUGGUGUCAUCAAAUAUUGGCCCCGGCCUUUAUAAUAAUGCUAUAAUAACUAAUAGAAACUUGGCCCUUAAAAAAACCUAAUAGAAACUUUGAAAUAUCUAAACAAUUUAGGUGUUCCUCUUUUCUCUUCUCUUGGAGCACAAAAAAGGUUACAAGUAAUUAAUAACCGAAAGACUAAACCAUGAAAUCUCUUACCUUAAUCUUCACAUUCUCCAUCAUUGCUACCUUCUCACAUGCAACACCAUCAUUAUUGGUCACUCUCCUUCAUACCCAACAAGUAAAUAAAUUUUAUAUUCUCAUCUUUAUUUUUAUUUUGAAAUAUUAAUCCAAAGAAGGGAAUACCCUUUAAUUCAAAAUUAUUAAAAAUCAUUUGAACAACAAUAUAGCGUACACAUGAAUGUAUACAUUAUUGAAUCUUAAAUAAAAGGCUUUAUGUACGUAUUAUAUAUAUAUAUAUAUAUAUAUAUAUAUAUAUAUAUAUAUAUGCAUGUUUCAGAUUAAUGAGACUGCACUAUCAAGUGGUAGCUGUAUUUACAAGAUCAUCAUAACAACAAGCUGCAGUUCUCCAAGACUUACAACAGAUGCAAUCGAUAUUUUAAUUGGAGAUGCUGAUGGCACUCAGGUUCUUUUCUCUAUCUAAGAAUAUAAUUUAACCAUAUAAUUAAUAUAACCAUAUAUACAUAAGAGAAAUACAAUUAGAUGACCACGUUCUCUCGCUCUUUGAUACAAUGUUUGUAUAAAAUAACAAUAAAAGUUCAAGUUUACUUAUAUGAGUUUAUCAACCGACAUAAGUAUUUGCGAGUUAAGAACACAUCUUAUAAUAUGUCCAUGACCUAUAUUUUCAGCUUAUUCGCACAAGUUUUUCAUGAUAUAGCCUAUGAAAAUAAUAGAUUAAAACUAAUAUGAAAACACAUAUCUUUAUAUAAUUUGCAGAUUUUUGCAAGUCCAGAUCCUAACACGGGGUUGUUCAAGCAGUGUGCGACGGAUAUAUUUGCAGUACAUGCAGAUUGUAUAGGAAAAAUCUGCAAUAUGCACUUUGUUAGUGUUGGAAGAGAUGGUUGGAUACCAGAGACCGCCAUCGUAUACCACCGUGACUACCCUCCUAUCACCUUCAACUUCGACUCUUUCCUUCCUUCAGGUGGUCCCUUUGGCGUCAAUUAUUGCGAACACUAUUAAUUACUAGAAUUAAUUAAUAUGCUUAUUAUAUUUCGUCAAAGAUCAAAUGUCAAGAAGCAUAUAGAAGCAGUGUAAUACGUAUUAGGGCUAGCUAGGUAGGCUCGAAUAAGGUUCCUUUCUAAUUACUGUUUGUUUUUACCAGCUAAUAACUGUUUUAAUACGGAAGAAAAACUAAGAAAUAAACAAAUUUCUUUAAAAAAUAUAUUGAAUGAUCAAGUUACAUUUUUUUAUGAGAUUUACAUUAGUCUCUUACACUGUCCACAAAAAAAAAAACUUAGUCUCUUACACUACAUAUAGAGACUAAUUUUAGUUAAUUGCAUAGAACUAUAAUAUUUUAAUAUAACAAAUUCUAGUAUCUCUUCUUCUCCCAUCGUCCUAUACUGCAACUUCAUCAAAAAAUGCAACUAAUUACAGCUUUGAUAUUGUGAAAGUUUUGUUUUGUUUGGAGAACGUUUAAUUUUAGCUAAGAAAGGCUUGAUGUAGUAAAACUUUUAAAAGUGUACGGAGUAAUUUUUUUUUUCAAUACAAAAUUUACUUUUUUUUUAGGGAAAAAAUUGACUUGUUUUGUUUCAUUAACUAAUGUCUCGAAGUGUAACAAAAAAAAAAACUAAUGUCUCGAAUACACUAAUUAGCAUGACCCUUAAUCAUAUAACUACACAUAGGAGAAAUACAAUUUGAUGAGUUAAAAUCGCUCUUAUUUUGUUGAACAAAUAAUUAGCUCAAUUUUAAAAUUUACGAUAUUGAUGCUAUUUUUUUAAGGUUAAUUAAGCAAAUGGUCUCUAUAAAUAUUCAGAAUUUUGUUUUUAGUCCCUACACAAUAAAAUCACACAUUUUAGUUCCUGUAACAUUUUGCUUUGGAAUUUUACGGACCAAAAAUGUUGGCGCAAAAUUUUUACAGGGACUAAAAAUACUAAUAAAAAAUUUACAAGGAAUAAAAAUGUUGAUAGACAAUUUUACAGGGACUAAAAAGUAAAUUUUUAUUUUUUGGCGACUAAAAAUGAAAUUCUGAAUAUUUAUAGAGACCGUUUAGUUAACUAGCCUUUUUUUAUUACACUGAUUCUAAUUUAUUAUUACACCCUCCGUUUCUAAUCGAUUGUUACCAUUAAAUAGUAUAGAAUAUUAUUUGAACUUCUUCGUCUCAUAUAUAAUUAAUUGUUUUUAUGAGGGGAAGACAAAAAUGUAUUAUGUGCUCUUUUUACUUUAAUCGUUGUUUUAUUCCAUUGAAUUUUUCUGGUAAGGUUUUUAACGAUGCAUAUUCUUAAACAAAAGGAUUAUGUGAUCUUUAUCCUUCACUAGAACUUUUUUUCCACUAGGUUUUUCUCCAGAAAAGUUUUAAUGAGACAUCCUCGAUGAAAUUCCAAGAGGGGUGUUAUGAAUAUUAUAAGUGGAUGUCCAUUUAAUAUUUUUUUUUGAACAAGCCAAAAUGAAUUAUAUUAACAUUGCCUGUAUAAUUACUUCAGCACAAGGCGUGCCAAAACAAUCACGAAAAGAACAACAAGUAUGAUAAAAUUUACAAAAAACUAGUCGAUGCCCAAACACAAAAGAGGGCUCGACCACCACGAAUGAGUACCAAAACUAAAGGUAGCAUUAUUAGCUUUCAACCACCACAAAGAAUAUGAUUUUACUUUAUCUAACAGGUGUGGUAUAAAGCUUUCUCGGUUCCUAAAUAACUUAUUAUUUCGUUCUAUCCAUUUAAUUAUUGGAUUACUAGGCUAUACUAUUGGAUCAAGUUAAACCAUUAAAAUUAUCUGCUAAGUAACACUGUUAUGCCUAUAUCCUAGUCACACAUUUGUACUUAUCUAUCAAGUCAUAUCAUUGUACUUCUUUGUAAAUAAAGAUCAAAUGUAAGGGAAUAAAAAAAUCUUGUUCUUUUUGUUCUUAUUCUAAAAGUUUCAUAACAAUUUUGAUACAAUAGAGGAGGUGUAAUUCAAGCUUUCAUUUGUUGCUUUUGUUUGUGUUUUGUUUUUUUUUCCUUUUCAUUUCUCAUUUUUUUUAUUUGAGUUAGGUUAACGUCGACUCAAGUUUUUCCCUCAUUAUUUUAAUGUAUAUUGGCAAAAUUGAUCAUACAAUCGUGUUGGAAUUGAGUGACUUUGUAGAUGAAAAGUCGUCAUGGUUUCCGCUCUAUCUUUUUUCUAUAUUACACUCUCUCUAAUUUUUAUUUUCUUUCAUCUUUCUCUCUCAUAAAACACCCUAAAAUACAUUAAAAUCACCAUACAUUUCCUUCCAUAAACACUCACUCUCAUUCUUUUGUAGUCUCUUAACUUAAUUUGAAGUAAUGUUAAGUAUUUAUCUUUUUUCUUUCUUUCCAUAAUAUUGAGUUAAAUUAUUUUACUAACUUAUAACUUUUCUUUUAUAGGUCAAUAGGUCAAUAUUCAAGUAGCUUACCACUUAUCAAAUUUUUCUUUUAAUUUUGCCCUUGUCAUCUCAAUUGAAAAAAAAAAAACAUAAUUUUUUAUGUCAUUUCAUAAAUUAUCAGAUAACAAAUUUCAAAUAUCUUCUAUAAAUUCAUUCGUUUUAACUCAAAUUUAUCAAUUAUUCACCAUUUUCAUCAAACAUAGCCUUAGGGGUCAACAUGCUCGAAUAUAAUUACUUUCAGCAAAGGAAUCUAUGAUCUUUAAAAAAAAAAAAGCAAAGGAAUCUAUGAAAAAUCCAAAAACUAAAAUAAAAAUGAAUGAACCAAAUAACUUUUUUUUUUUUGAACAGACGAACCAAAUAAUUAAUUAGUCUGUGAUCUUUCGGUAAAGCAAAGAAUUAGUGAAUUGCAUUCCUACCACACCAAUUGGCAAUUUGUUCUUCCAUGAAGCCAAUAAGUUUAUUUAUUUUUAUAUGAAUGAAGGCAUUAUAGUGUCGAAAGACAUAUAUUUAUUUUGUGGUAAGGAUUUGAACUCCGGAUCUUUUAUAUAUAUAUAUAUAUAUAUAUAUAUAUAUAUAUAUAUAUAUAUAUAUAUAUAUAUAUAUAUAUAUAUAUAUAUAUAUAUAUAUGUUUGGGAAGUCCAUAUUAGAUACUAAUAAACCAAUUAAACCAUGAAUUCUCUUACCUUAAUCUUCACAUUCUUCAUCGUUGCUGCCUUCACAAAUGCAACACCAUCAUUGGUCUCUCGCUCUCAACUUCAAAUGAACCAAUAUUCCAUGCUUAACCAUACCCAACAACAAGUUAAUACAUUUUAUAUUCUCAUCUUUAUUUUUACUUUGAAAUAUUAAUUCAAACAAGGGAAUACCCUUUUGUCAACACAAAAGAAUUUAAAAAAAUCGAUAAAUCAUAAUACAAUGAACAUGAUCAUUUGUUCAUGCAGUUUGAACAAAUAUACAUAACUGUAGUUUCGUAUUAUGCAUGUUUCAGAUUAAUGAGACUGAACUUGUUAGAGGUAGUGGUAGCUGCAAUUACAAGAUCGACAUAAAGACAAGCUGCAGUUCUCCGGAACAUACAACAGAUACAAUCGACAUUAUAAUUGGAGACGCUAAUGGCAAUCAGGUUGUUUUCUCUACUACCUCUAAGAAUAUAAUUAGGGAUCUUCUAUCGUACACUCACAAAUUAAGAUGUAACGGUACAUUAUAAUUAAUGUUGAGAUAAGUAUUUAUGAGAGUUACAGUAACAUCUUAUAACAUGUUUGAACUAUAUUUUCAGCUUAUUCACAUGCUUAUGAAAACAAUUUAAACUAAUUUGAAAAUACAAAUCUUUAUUAUAACUUUGUUAUAAAAAUAGCUUAGAUAUAAACAUGUAUAAAUAUGCAACAUAAGGAGUAUGUAAUCUUUUUUCUUUGAACUGAACUAUAUAUGUAUUGGUUCGAUAUCCAUGCACGUGUAUAAAUGCAGAUUAUUUCAAGUCCAGAUCCUAGUAUGCGGGGUUCCUCUCUCAAGCGGUGCACGACGAAUCCAUUUGAUCUGGUACAAGCAAAUUGUAUAGGCAAAAUCUGCAGUAUGUUCUUCGUUAGGUUUGGAACAGAUGGUUGGAUACCAGAGUCUGCCACCUUAUACAACGAUGGCUACCCUCCUAUAACAUUCAACUUCAACUACUUGAUUCCUUUCGGCGUUCCCUCUGGCAUCUAUAAUUGCAAUAAAUAAGUUUUUAUGUUAAUUCGUAAGUUCUCACUAAUGAAAAUUGUAUCAUUGAUCAGAAGUUGUUUUUUCAUAAACUACAUUGAUAAGCUUAUGAAUCAUUUAUCUCGCGAUUCAUCAAAGAAUGAUAGCUAAUGAGUUUCUGCAUUUAUUUAGCGUCAAAUAACACAUAUUGCUUUCGAUAAACCGAUGACAAUGUUGAUUUGCUGUAUUUUUUUCUCAAUCAAACCAUUCAGCCCGUGUAAUUAUUUUUCUUCAACUUUGGUUAUUGUUGUUAAAUUAUGAGAGUUGAAUAUUAUUGUUUUUGAAUUGUGAGAGUUACGGAAACAUCUUAUAACAUGUACAUGAAGUAUAUUUCCAGCUUGGUUUGCAUAAGUUUUUCACAAUAGACUAAUAUGAAAACAGAUUAAAACUAAUAUGAAAAUACACAUAUCUUAUAUACUCCAUAUGUGACUGUAUAUGCGAAAUAUGCAAUAUGCACUUCGUUAGGGUUGGAUGCCAGAGUGCCACCUUAUACUACCGUGACUAUCCUCCUCCUGUCACCUUCAACUUCAACUUCAACUCGUUCGUUCAUUCCUUUAGGUGUUCCCUCUGGCGCCGAUUAUUGUCAAAGGUCAAAUCUUCAAUAAGCAUAUAGAAACCGCAUAAUACGUAUUAGGGCUAGCUAGGUUGGCUCAAAUAAGAUAGCUUUUAAUUGCUGUUUGUUUUUACCAGCUAAUAACUAAGAAAUAAACAUAUUUCUUUAUAAAAAAUGAAUGAUCAAGUUAAAUUAAUAUCUUAUUUUUAAUUAUGAGAUUAAUAUUUGUCUCUUAAACUACACAUAUGGACACUAAUUUUAGUUAAUUGCAUAGAACUAGAAUAUUUUUAAUAUAACAAAUUUUAGUAUCAUCUCUGUUCUCACUACUAGAAAAAGCAAAAUUAGCGAGGGAAAUUAGUGACGGAAAAAAUGAAAUUCUUCACAAAUUCCUUGGUCGCAAAAUUUAGUGACGGAAUUAGAGAGAGAUUUUACGUUUUCCUUCACUAAUUUUUGUUUUUUUAGUAGUGUCUUCUCACAUCGUGCUAUACCUUCAUCAAAAAAAUACAACUAAUUAUACUUGUUUAACAAAAAAAAUUGGUCGGACCAUACAUUAGUCAGAAACGAGUUUUGGAUAUUGUGAGAGUGUUGUUUGGAAAAGGUUUAGGCUAGGAAAGACUUGAUGUUUAAGUGGUUUAUUGUGAGACUGACCUCCCUUUCUUGGGAACUUAUCUAAUAAUACACAAACAAAUUACAGCUUGUUUACAGCGGCAACGUCAAAUUUCUCAAGUGUAGUGAAACUUUUUUCCUUUUUUGACGAAAGUGGUGGUGAUAUAGUAUGAGUUAUACAAAGAUAUUGAGAGGAAAUAUUUUCAACAUGAACAACGAUAAAUGAGAGAAACUAGAUUUUGAGAGCUUUGAGUACAAUUCACAUGUCUUUUACUAAGAAUAUUCUUGUUCUUAGUUAAUUAAGAGCUAUAGUCAAAUGCUUUAUAGCUCUGUUAUUGACUAAUCCAACUAAGCAAUUUUUCUUUUAUGAAAAUAGUAUUAGUCGGACUCAAUUUCAAGAGAAAAAAAGUGCAUACAUAUGUUUGACUAAAAUAUAAGUGAAAAAGAGUAUUCUACGUGCAGUUUCGGCCAUUUACACGUGCAACUAUCUUUACGGAAUUGAGCUUAAAUUUAUGGGGGUCUCAAAUAUUUGAUGGUUGUUCAAUAGGUUUCUUGGGUCCUUGAUAAAAAAAAUAGGUUUCUUGGGUUGCUUGCAAUCCCCUCAACCGAUCACCUUGUACUCUCGAUCAACUUUUUUCUUUUUUUGUAAACUAUGGUUGGGUCAUCACUCUCGAUCAACUUUUUCAUACAAAGUGAGCAAUUUGAAGGAUUCAUUGAACAAUCAUUCACUUUAUCUCUUAAUGUUAACUUGUAACUGUUCAAAUUACCCUUAAUUUUUUUUAUUAUUGCCCAUUUUUAAUAUUAGAGCAAGCUUCAUAUUUGAUUCGGACAACCCUUGAUACUAGUUGACUACUAAUUAGGUUAGUGAGAGAUGAAAUUUGAGAUUUAAGAAGAAUGAGUUGUACAAUGAGAAUUUUGAUUCUAUUAUGUUCAAAACAUAGCAAAAAAACCUAAGGUAAACGUCAAACUAUUUUUUGGUGUUAACCUUCCAAAUUUUAAGAGAAAGAGGCUUGAUAAUCUCAAGUUCAUAAAUAUCAUACUGGGGCAUUCAUAUAAAGAAAUGAGUUAUUUUUUCUUAAAUGAUGCCUCAAAGUUUGUAGAUAUCAUAAAAAUGAAGUUAAAUUAUAGUACAUAUAAUUUUGAAGGGAUAUAAUUGUAAUUCAAGCAUCUCUUAUGGGAGAGAAAUGUAAUUUACUUUAGGUUUUUACUUUUUAAGGAGGAAAAUGCAUAUUUUAGUAUAACAUAGGAAAUAUAAUUUAAGCUUUUCUUUUGAAUAUUUUUGCUCUUUCUUUCAUUUCCCUUCCUUUUCAUAUAUUUUUUUUUUUAGUUAAGUAAAUUUCAACUCAAGUUUUCUUUUUUCUCAUUAUUUUAAUAUAUAUUAGCAAAAUUGCUUAUGCGGAAUUGAGGGACUUUGUAGAGGAAAAGUCACCGUGACUCUCUCUCUCUCUCUCACACAUUUCAAAUAUAUUUUCUCUUUCAUAUUUCUCUCUCUUAAAACACCCUAAUAUCACUAUGUCAAAAAGGGCUUAUAUAGUGCUUUAAAAGUGCUAGGUAAUAUGGCACUGCUAAAGGUUAAAUAGCGAUUUAAAGUAAGCCCUAAGUGCUAUCUAAAGGUGGCCUUGUAUAGCGCUUUCACCUAUAAAUGCUAUCUAAGGGAGACUUUACCUAGCGCUUUUAGAUUUAAGUGUUAUCUAAGGAGGACUUUACCUAGCGCUUUUAGAUUUAUGCGCUAUCUAAGGGUGGAUUUACAUAACGCUUCAACACUUAGGGCUAUAAUUAUGUGGUUUAUGAUAGCACUUUUUUUCUUCAAAUAUAUGUACUAAAGUUGUGGUAGUGUUCAUGAUGGAUAAUUCUCUAAAUUUCUAGAUCUUCUGAAGUUCCAUAUCUAUUGAUAUCUACAUGUCUUAAACUUUCAAGUUAUCUUCCACUCCGAUCAUGGAAUGUGUGCUAGAAAUGGUUGUUAACUAGAUAUUGUUCAUCGCAGUAAAUAGUUACUACGCAUGGAUUUGUUAGUUAUCCGUGUUGGCGGUCGAAUCCACUCCCCGCUCUGAAGAGUUGGUCUGAUGCUCGUCAAUUAUGCACCUCGUUUUUCGCAAUUUGGUUUCGUGCUUGUAGACAGGUGCGCCGAAUUGUGCGCGGUGUAUACUGAUUCGUUUUGGAUUGAGUUCUUUUGAACCCUGUUGGGAUGUUUUGUUUUUCUUCUUGUUUUUUUGCUUUUGGUGGUUAGGCUUUAUGUCCCACCAACUUUUGUAAUUUUCUCCUUUUAAUUGAAUCUACUUAGGGUAUUGCGAACUCAUCUACACCUUAUUUUCUUAAAAAUAAAACAUUUUUUAUAAGUUAAUUUGAGUAACUUAUAACUUCCCCUAAAAAAAAGCUUAUAACUUACCAAUUUUUUCUUUUAAUUUUACCCUUCAUAUCUUAAUUGUCAAGUCUAAGGUGAGGAUCAAUUAAGCCCCUCAUUGAAAACCAUGAAAAAUAUACCAUUAUCUUCAUAUCUACGAUCAACUUCAUCUCCCUCGCCACAUACUCCUAUUUUGGUUGACAAAGGCAGACAAAUUCAAAUUUCUACUACAAAAUACCACGUACUACCACCCUUCAUAGUUUCGGUCAUUCACUUUCUAAUUAUUGCUUUUUUUUUCCUUCGUUUCUCAGAUUACUUAUUUAUUUUAAUUUUAGUAGCAAAUUGGAAAGUUGUUUGUGUUUUAGUUGAAGGUUGAACAGUAACAUUGGGUUUUGACACGAAUUCUUUCAAUUUCUAAGUAUAAAAAUUCAACUCCCUAUGAGAUAUGUGUUCUUUCCUUUUGUACCCAUUAAUGCCUUAGUAUAAUCGAUUUAACAUUAAAUUUGAAUAACUAAACCAUAGUGUAAAAGAUGGAACUAGUGAGAUAUCACCAUUGAAGCGCCAUUGGAGAGAGCGGUUACAUGGAUGGGGAUAGACACGGGAGGUAUUGUGUGUAUAGAUGUGAACAUGUAUAGAUGAUCUCGAUUUUAGUUUCCACAAAUCUAGAGCGUUGAUUUUAUCUAACAAUAUAUUUUAUAUGGUUUACCGACCAGAGAAGUUAAAAAAAAAGUAUAUAGAUUAAACAUAUAUUUUUACGCCAUAUUUCAUAUUUAUAAGCAAAUUUAACGCAAACCUUAAACAAUUUCUAUAAGUUCAAUCAGUUAACUUAUAAAUUAUAAACUAUCAAGUUAUUAGCUAACUUAUCAACUAUUCUAUAUAAGUUCAUUUAUUGUAACCAAACUUAUUCAUUAUCGACUAUUUUUACCAAACUGACAUGCCUCAAAUAUAAUUACUUUUAGCAAAAACAAAUCUGAGAGAAAUCCAAAAACUAAAAUAAAAAUUAAUGGGCCGAAUACACAAAUAGUCGGUGAUCUUUCAAGAAAGCAAAAGAAUAUAAUUCGUUAAUUGCAUUCUUGCCACACUAAUCUGUUCUUCCAUGAAGCCAAUAAGGUUUUUUAAAUUAAUUAUUUUUUAAUUUUCAUAUCCUGUGUUUAGCCUUUUUUUUCGGUUGAGGAAUAGCCUUUUUUUUUUUUUUUUUUUACUACUGUGUUAAGAUAUAUUUACGCUACUAAUAUUUAAAAAAAGGAACCAAACGGAAAUAGGCAAUUGAAGAGAUGAGCAAUGAAUCCAUUUUAACUUGUAAUUGAUGGAUUAUUUAACUUAGUUAUUAUAAUUUUAAUUCAAUUACAAAUAAAUUAAUAUAGACAGUCAUGUAAGGACAACUCAAUUGAUAGCUGCAAGGAAAAUAUUAUGUGGGAUUGGGUUGGAAUCCCAGAUUCUCUACUUCUUCACAUAUAAAAUGUGUAAAUUUCAUCAAUUAGACUACUUGACAAAAACAAUUGAGGCAUGACAUUGGGCGGACACAAUUUUUUACUUCCAUGUCCAUGAAUCAAUCCAGGUUCGAGUAAUAUAUAUAUAUAUAUAUAUAUAUAUAUAUAUAUAUAUAUAUAUAUAUAUAUAUAUAUAUAUAGGAUGGAUAUAUUGACUUCAAGAAUAAGUGUUUAAAGUUACUCUAAAUCUUAACCCUUAAUUUCAAUAUUAAUCGAUGAUUGUAAUUAAUUACUAUCAAUCCAUAUCAUAAGCCUUUUUUUACUCCUUCGUCUGAGGAUCUAAAAUAAAUGGCUACCUCAAUCCCUAUCUCAGUAAUUUCUUUUUAAUUGAAUCGGAUUGAAGAAUAUGAUGUCAAUUGCAUCAUUUUGUAUUCUAUUCAUAGAGAUAAUCCAAAACCUAAUAGAAUUUUAAUAUUUUUAAUAUGCAAGAACCGUUGUUGAAUGAAAUCGUGAAUCAUGUGUCGAUGAAUUACGUGAUUCCUCUAAUUAGCAAUUCUUAGAAGUUGAAGGUGUAUAAAUAGCUUUGUAUGUGUUAAUUGGAAGUUAUCAAUUUGUCCGUUCAUGGCAAGAGUACCCUAUGUUGGUGAAAUGGCAAAUACCCAAUUUAAUAAAAUAAAAUAAAAAGGUACUUUCAAUUCAAUAUCUAAAUAGACUUCUCACCAUUAAUUCAAUUGAGAAAAUUGUGUUUUCAAUUUCAUGAUCAUUGAUCAUAUUGGAUGACUCGUGAUAAUGGAAUGCAAAAUAUUCAGUUUCGUCUUCAUCUUCCAAAAGGUUUAAAGUCGUGAUGAUCUUGUUAUUAAUUCAGUACCAUAGUUUCGCCUUCAUUGAUCACUAGCGUCCACCGUGUCCGUCUGUCCGCUCUUUCUACUGCGCUAAUACAUGUAACUCAUAAACAAUAUGUUUUUCAACAUCAAUGUUGUUUAGUUUUUUUAAAUAUAUCUUGGAGAAAAUUAUUAGAAUUAAGAGAAAUAUCAUACAUUCCCCUCAAAAAGAGAAAGUUCUAACGUGAUAAAAAAAAUGUAAGAUAGAUAGAUAAUACAUGCACUUCUCUAACAUGAAGUUAUUUACGAUUUACUUAGUUUUGUAAUGCAUACUCAUCUAUAUAAGAAAUAUGAAUAUGCAUGAAACAUGAGUGAAAUUUAUGCGAGUGGGUUUCACGAAGACAAUAAAUCUUUCCUACCGCUAACACAAUUUAUAAAAACCUUUAUUGAUUACAAUUUAAUCUUUUUGCAUUUGUCUAAUAUUCACCCAUUCUCCAUCUCUCCUAUUAAAAGAAAGCUCCCUCUUUACCCGAUCUACCUCUCUCUUAUUGCAUUUGUCUAAUCAUUUUUAUCCGGUUUUUUCUAGAUUACCUUUGAAAAAUGGUGGGUAAUUUACCCACCAACCAAUCAUAAUGAGCAAUUUAUUGGUGGGGUCAAGAUAGUUUAUGGAUACCACCUAAAAAGGUGAAAGUUUAUUGGUUGGGGUAAAUUACCCACCAUUUUUCCAUGGGUACCCUGGUUGUCACCUUUUUAUCCCUACUAUUGAGUUUCCGCUUUAAUACACUUUAAUCAAAGCUACAAAAAGUUUGAAAAAAAAUUCAUUUUGGUGGUUUUUUUAUGUCGUUAAUUCAGUUUAAUCAAAGCCACAAAAAGUUUGAAAAAAAGUCAUUUUGGUGGUUUUUUUAUGUCGUGAAUUCAGUUUAGCAAUUUUGUAAAAUAAAUAUUUUUAGUGUUUGUAAUUUAAAAAGGAAAAGUAAGCCCUCCUCUCAUAAAUCUUCCAUCUAAACACACCAUUCUUUCUUAAAAAAAAAACAUUUCUAAAAAACAUAAUAUGUUGAAUCACAAUCAAUAUUUCUCAGCAACAAACAAAUAAAUUUUUUGAAAGAUUCUUACACACAAAAAUAAAGCCUCCCAACAAUACCAACAAAAAAUGUCAACAAAAAAAAAAGAAAAAUCAUCAAAAAUAGAAAAUAUAUAGAGAGAAGUCAUGAGUGAAGAUGAAUAGUCAUUGUCAUUAAAAUGGUACAAUGAUUGAUUAACCACCGUCUCCUAGGUGAAAGAUGAAUAUUCGAACAAUCAAUUUGCUUCUAUGGCGCUACAUUGCGACAACCAAGUUUCUUGGUGACAAUUUCCUGUUACAAAAAUGUCAUAUGUUAAUCUCCUUGUCUACCUCAUUUCCUAAUCUUAGCGGGUGUUUCAAUUCAAAGAGAACUUACGUGUUAAUAAUCGUGGUGUUUCUUGGUUCUAUCUCUUUGUUGUCUUUCUCCCAAUCUUUUGUUAAUAACCAACAAAGAGAGAGAACCAAAGGGUUAGAAAUACCACCGCCACCAUGGUCCAUAUGCAUGUUGUCCUCUGGCUACGACCGUGUGAGCUUCCCGGCUCAUUACCUUUUGUAUCCAUGCAUGUUUAUCUCUCUUCUCUCAUCCUCAUUUUCUGAUGAUUAACAGGCUUCCAAUUUCACUUUAGUGUAUGUAUGUGUGCCAAUUAGUUUAUAGUUUUUUUUUGAAGGGAUCAUUUACAUGUUUCUCUAGUAAGUGGUUAUUUAUGACCUGUUCGCUAUGUUAUACUUGUUAAAUCCACCCAAAGUAAGGGAGAUAAUCAAAUUUUUUUUUUGACAACAAGGGAGAUAAUCAAUUAAAACACGAAAAAAUAACAAAUUUUAGGUAGGAAGAAACAAAGAUAACAUAAAAUGAAAAUGGAAAAAAAUUAAGUGUUAGUAAAAACUGUAAAAAUGAGAGAGAGAGAGAGAGAGAGAGAGAGAGAGAGAGAGAGUAAUCAUUUUGAUCUCUCUAUUCUGUUAUGUGUUUUUCUCUUCUACAAUGUGUUUUUCACUAGGACAACACAAAAACAAUAUAAUACUAAAGGAUAAAAAAAUUAUAAAAAAAAAAAAAAAAACUGUAAAGUAAUUAAAUUUCAAGUCAUAACCUUUAAUUUGAAACACGCCAUAGAAUUUUCAAUUUCCUUUCAACUCCUCCCCCUUAAAUUUUUUUCGUUAUCUCUUUCCAUUAGAGUUUCUUAAUUAUAAGAAAUUGCCAUCCUUUCAAUUUGCAUCGCAACGUCACUACACAAAAUCAAGGGGAAGAAGUAAAUUAGUUGGAGAUAAAAUUAAGAGUAGAAAUUAACUAAAAAGAAUCUAAAAAAUUUAGAAGAAAACAAUCUAUGUUUUCAAAACAAAGUGAAUGUGCUUUCGUUAAAACUUUGUAACAUGCAAUGAAAACUAUGAAUAAACCACUUUCUCGGUCUUUUGCGCAACCUUUAUCCUUCCAUCAUUGGUGUGAUUGCCAAGAGAGUAUAGUCUACGUUGAAGCCACCAUUAGAGGGUGACCUCCGUAUCCCCUACUUUCCUACCAUUUUCUUUUUCUUUCCCCCUUUCUUUUGUGUUUGGAAGAUGUAUUUUUCCUCUUUGCUUUCUGGAUUGUUAAUUUGAGGGCAUCUACAAACUGAAAAAGAUACAAAAUAGUGAUCGAUAAUCAAAAGUGCAAAUUAUAAGAAGAUGCAUCAAUUGGAGUAACUUAUAUGAAGGAAUGACGAUAGUGCCAGAAAUGCAUGUUAAAUGUCAUGUUUUUUUUCUGUGAUAACAAUGAAUUGCAUAUUGACAUUGUCAUAUACUCAUAUACAAAUAAUCACUUGCACUUUGAAAAAGAUGUUGGGUUUUCCUCUUUCCUGCCUCAAACUGUAACAAACUUUGGUGAACAUAAGAACAAAUUUGAAAAGAAAAAUUGCACCAAUUAAUUAUUGAACGUAACAAAAAUAUCAAAAAUUAAAAAGAGUGUAGAUAAAAUAGGCUACACCAAAAGAGUGUUUUACCUUUAUUAGAUGUUAUAGAUGUUAUAGAUAAAAGUGAGGAAAAAGUUGAAAACUCAUACUUAUUUUAAUGCCUUCUUCGCUAAUUAAUGGUUAAAGGUGAGAGUGUAAAACAAACCUCUUUUUGCUAUCCGCUAUUUAGGCUAUUCCUCCAUACUACCUAUCGAAUUCAUCUUUCUCUUUGUGAAAGUGUAUAUAUUUUGAUUUUAGAGAUCAGUUGUACUUUUUCAAUAUCUGUUCACACUCUUUAUUUCUGUAUUAAGGUAACGAGCAAUGAUAUUUGUACAUCAAUUUUAUGACAACUUUAGUGACAACUUUGUUUUUCUCUCUUCUUAUUGGUCAAAAACAAUGGAGAGAGAAAAAGGAAGAGAGAUGAUAAGAACAUCAUGUGAGUAUGAGAGAGAAAGUUGUACAAAAAUUGUUACAAAAUGGUUGUACAAAUAUCAUUUCUCUAAGGUAACCGACUUCAGAUGGGUAGUUUUUUGAGUCGCGGAAGUUAGAUGGUAAGAUUGGAAUCUAAAAUAGGCUACACCAAACAAAAUGUUUUGCCUAUUAAGGAAGGUAUAGAGGUAUAGAUAUAUUUUGAUUUUUUAUUAAAAAGAUAGUAAAAAGCCCAAAGUUGUGCCGUUUCAACGGCAUUAUAUAUAUUAAAAAAAAGAGUAGAUGAAACGAUAGUUUUUGAGAAGCUACGCAUAACCACUAUUCAUUCAAAUAUGUUUUCUGAUUUUUUUUUUUUUUUUUUUUUUAUGAAUUGUCUAAUAUGAACUCUAUCAAAAAAAAAAAAUCAUUCUAAUUUUGUUUUUGUUAUCUAUUGUGUACUGGUCAUCAUUGCACAAUUGUUUUUUAACGGUCAAAUAAUAUUGUCAUGACCCCUUUUUUAAUUGAUUCAUUGUCCACUUAAUUUUGAUUUUCGGCUAUAUCAAUGGAUGCGGGCGAAAUCAUAUUUGUGCAAUCAUUUUUAAAUAAUUUUCUCACUCAUACUCUCGUUUUGCUCUCUCUCUCUCAUAUUUGUGCAUUCAUAUUUGAUGCUAAUUUUUUUUAUUGCACAAAAUAGCUUUCUUUUUUGAGCAAUAUAAAAAUAGCUUAUAUACAGAAAUGUAUAAAUAUGCAACACAAGGAGUUAUAUAUGGAAUAUUGGUUUGAUAUCCAUGCUUGUGUACAUAAUGACAGAUUCUUUCAAGUCCGGCUCCUAAUACAGGGAUUUCAUCUUUCAAGUAGUGCACAAUGAUUCCAUUUGAGGUACAUGGAGAUUGUAUAGGCAAAAUCUGCAAUAUGAUCUUUGUUAGGUUUGGAACAAAUGGUUGGAUGCCAGAGUCUGCCACCUUAUACUACGGUGACUACCCUCCUGUUACAUUCAACUUCAACUACUUCAUUCCUUCGGGUGUUCCCUCCGGUAUCAAUAAUUGUUAGGGCUAGUAUUUAAUAUAGGUAAUGCUAACCGGUGUUCUGGGAAACCGGUUAAAGAAAUUAGUAUAAAAAUAUUGUAUUGAGAAGUGUGGAAAAGUUGUAUAUUUAAUUUUUUACAAGCAAAAACUUUGUUGUUUUCAAUGAAUAAUUUUUAUUUUAAAUUUCUUAACUAUUAUCUAUGCAUAUUAUAUUUUGUCAAAGAUCAAAUCGUCCAGAAGCAUAUAGACGCAACAAUAUGCAGAUAAGGUUGCUUCCAAUAAGUAUUUUUCUUUAACAACUAAUAAUUGUUUAAUAGCAUAAAAGUUUGGCAUGUGUUGUUAUGUUUUAUGAUGUCUUGUGUUGUUUUGUCUAAUAUUUAGUAUUUUUUAACAAAUCAAACACACCUUAAAAAUAAAUCUAUUUCUAUAUCUUUAACAAUUAUUGAUAGACCUGAUAAAUAAGAGAAAAAUAUAGAAAAGAAAAUAUAACGAGUAAUUAAGAUAAUUGUUGACUACAUAAAGGGAUACAACAAAGCUUAUCUUAUCAAUAAUACAACAAAGCUUGGGUUAUAUGGUGUAUUAUUUUUUUAAUGUGGCGUGAUUGCACUAUUGUUUUUUUUUUAACGGUUAAUUUAUUUGAGUCAUCAAAUGUGUAACCGAUCUUGACUCCUUGCCCAUAUAAGGAGCUCCUCCCCUCACUUAUACUCUCACCAAAACAUAGCAAUCAAUGAGUUCUAUGUUCUUCUUUUUUUACUUGGUACACUUCUGAACCAACUUCUCCCUCCUUGUUUUUCUACCUUGAAAAAAGUCACUUCGAUAAUAUUGUCGAUUUUGUUGUCCCUUCAGAAGCUAAAAUGGUCUAAGUAACGUAUUGAGAGCGUAUAUUAUUAGAACCGAUUCGUGCAAUAAGACUCAUAUACAAUUGUGUUUGGGUUGUUUUAACAUAGAGACGUCGUGGUUAAUAGUUUACUUGCACAAUUUUAAACAGUGAUAUAAAACAUCUUAAUGAGAGUAACCUAGUAUGCGACUCAACCUAGUAUUUGUUUCGAAAGCUAAAAAAUUAUUUUUAAUUGUUUUUUUAAAUAUUAUUCCAACAAUUUUAACACGCUUUAAUAUUCCCUAACUAGCAAAGAAAUCAUUGGCUCUCGUUACACUAUUCCCAACUACAACAAAUUGUUUAGAGUUCAAAAGAUGUUAUUUUUCAUAACAACAAAAAUGGUUGAUAAUAUUCUAAAGGGUAAGAUCUAUGUAGUUCCUGAGAUAGAUGUUUUUUAUUACACAAUUUUCAACACUUUUUUUUUAUUGGUUGAAAUUCAUACAAGUUUUACCAAAUUUAUAUGGGCCCAUAUGAUUUAGUGGGACUCAUGCGAAUUGUAACCAAUCAAAGAGAGUGUGUGUUAAAAUUUGUGUUGCUAGCAUUACUCCGUUGCAAAACUGCACAAUAUAGAAAAACUUGUGUUUAACUCAUCCUAUACGCACAAGUGGAAUGUCAACAACACACAUUUUAACUUACUAUCUUUGAUUGGUUAAAAUUCACAUGAGUCUCACCAAAUCAUCUAUGCCCAAAUAAAUUUGGUGAAGCUUAUGUGAAUUUUAACCGAUCAAAAAGAGUGUAUUAAAAAGUGUGUGGUAAAAUAUAUGUUGCUAACAUUUCUCAUAUGCACAAAGAUGAACGAAUAGCACAUACAUGUCUUGAAAACAUGUGUCGUGUGUGUAUUCAUCAAAGACUCAUAAAUCCUUUGAAAGUUUACUAACAAAUUAAGAUUUCAGCCUAUAUUAUUCGUCAUGUAAACAUAGGGCUUGAUGGAUGUACAUGUAAGAUGAGUUAAACACAUAGUUUCAGUCACAUUGUAUAAAUAAUAGACACAUCAGAAUUUUUAUAACAUAAUUUGUUUUUUUUAAUAAAUAACACAAUUUAUUUGAGAGGUUAACAACGUACACUUUUACAAACUAAAAUUAUCAAUUUGUUAUAAAAUUAAUUAAAAAAAUUGUUUUGAGGAGAACGAAAUAAAAUUAAAAUUAAAGAUAUAUUUGGUCCAACUAAUACAUGCCAACAGGGAUUCUAUUUGCCAAGUUUUUUUUGUCAGGUAGGUUAGUGGUUAGAAUUCACCUUUUUUAAGGUGAAUAAGUGGGAUGUCCGGGGUUCGAACUCCGGCCCUUGCAUAUAAUAAUGCAUGUCCCUAUCAACUGAGCUAUACUCACGGGGACCUAUUUGCCAAGUUAUUAAUUUUGUAACGAAAGAUACUAAAAAUAGUAUUUUUUGAUUUUUUUAACCUUUGAUAAAACUCAUUAACCACUUGAGUUUGAUUAUUUAGUUAAUAUUCUUCAAAAAGAAAAAUGUGGUGGAUGUGGUUUGAACUCCGAACCUUACAUAUAUUAUGCAUUGUCCUUACCAACUGAACUAAACUCACCAGUACAAUAAUAUUAUUUGAUUUUACAAAGAGUAAAUCCAAACAAAAAAAAAAUUACGGACUAAAAUAAAAUAAAAUAAAAAGGUCAUAUUCGCAAGAUCAAUGGUAUACUUAACUUUUUAUUUUUUUUGUCAAGUAGUCUAGUGGUUAGAGCUCGGGUGUCUGGGGUUUGAACUACGAUCCCUGCAUAUAAUAUGCAAAUAUCCCUACCAAUUGAGUUAAAUUUAUGGAGAUACUUAAGCUUUAUUUUUAAUAAACCAAAGGACUACUUUCUAGAGCUAUUUAUAUUAUUAUAUAAAAAAGGAGCCAUUAUGAUUUUAAUUUUAAAAUAUAAAAGUAAAAAAGCUACAAAAACAACAUAAAACCAAAACGAAUAUUUUGAUGCAAAAUAUUUGUCUUUUCAUCAAUUAAAUGUAAUCAAUAUAUGAGCUAAUGACAUCAAUUGGUAGUAUAUUGUUUUCAAAACAAAAACAAACAAUAAAAUAGUAAUAAACUACUUUUUUGAAAGUGUUACAAUAAAAUAUUAAAAAAUAGUGUAUUCCUUCAAAAAAAAAAAAAAGAAUAGUGUAUUGUUAGCAGUUCAUGGUGUAGUUAAAUAUUGUCCUGGCCUUUCUAAUGCUAUAGGUGUUCCUCCUUCUUUUCUCUUGAAUCACAAAAAAAAAGGUUAUACAAUAAAAAUAAAAAUCAAUUUAGGCAACCACAUAAUAAACUAUGAAAACUCUUACCUUAAUCUUCACAUUCUCCAUCAUUGUUGCCUUCUCACAUGCAGCACCAACAUUGGUCACUCUUCCUCAACCUGAUCAAAUGAAUCAAUCUUCUACACUAAUAAGUCAUACCCUUCAACAAGUAUAUCAAUUUUAUCACUUAGCUUCUCGUUAUUUUUUUUUUAUUUUUUUAAGCAUUUAUCCGAACUAGGGAAUACCCUUUAAUUAAAAAUCAUUCAUAAUAACAUAUUUAUUCAGUAUAUAUCUUUUCAUUUUUUUUUUCAACACCAAAAAAAAGCUUUUCAUUAUUGUCCCUUUUGCCCUAAAAAGUUUAGUCACUAGUUUACAAAUCAAUGUGUAUCUUAAAUAAUUUCAUAUUUUAUUGUAUCUUGAAUAAGAGACAAUAUGCAUUUUUCAGAUUAAUGAGACUAGACUGAUUAGUAGUAUGUGCAAAUACCUAAUCACCAUAAAGACAAGCUGCAAUUCUCCAGCAUAUACAACAGAUCAAAUCAGUCUUUUAUUUGGAGAUGAUCUUGGCUCUAAGGUUCUUUUAUGUACUCAUUCACAAUUUUAAAAUACUUGAAUGAUUUUAGUAAAAAUACUUUACUUAACUAGUUAUGUAUUAUUUUCUUCUGACAUGUCCAAAAACAAUUUGUAGCUUAAACUCUCUAGGACAACUUAUAUGAACAAUUAAUAGUUUAUAUGAAUUAUUUUUUUUUUAAUGAAAUUAUGUAAUGUACUGGUUUGAUGUAUAAUUGCAGCUUUAUGUUAAAAGAUUGGAUGACCCUGGUGCAUUCAAGAGGUGCACCACAGUUUCAUUUGAUGUAAUGGGAGAAUGUACCAGCCAGAUAUGUGAACUGUACUUAUUUAGGAA
rnacentral:lncRNA from 1 species